rnacentral:ncRNA from 12 species
UAUAUUUGAGGAUAGAACAGGCAGCUAUCACACCUUAUAUUGUAAAAUGUUCCAUGCUCGGUUUUCUAUGAUGGAAAGUAACGCAAGAUGGUCAAUAUAAGGUCUUACAAGAGAUGUAGGAGUGUCGCCCUACCAAAUAUA